rnacentral:piRNA from 1 species
UGCCUUUCUACAAUAAAACUCUAAAACCA